ACUGUAACAACAACAGACCUUCAAUGUUUUUAUUAAAGCCAUCUACAAAAAUCCCUCUGUGCUAUAGCUUUCCUGCAGGGUGACUUCUGCUGAGAUGCUGUUUCCAUUAAGGACAAUUGCAGAGAAUAAAGAAAGAAUGAACAAACAAAUGGAAAAAAGGGGGGAGGGGUGGGGGGGAAGCAGUGGAGCAGUGGAGCUCUCAAGCUGUGUAUGGAAGUGGCUGUAGUGGGGUGGGCCAUCACCCUGGGGGUGCCCCCUAUCACUGUCCUGCAUGGAGUUCCUGCAGCACUGGUGCAUGUGGGCAGCAGCAGCAAUGAGUUCUCCAUGCAAUGCAGAAUCCAGAGAUAGGCUGUGAUGUCAGAGCCACUGCUUUGGCCUCCCAGUGAGAUCACAGGGGGAAGUGCUGUUUUUAUACUUGUCGGGUGUGACUUAUUUGCAAUAUCCAUUAAAGCUGGAAGUGAUGCGGAGGAAAGAGGCUUUUCCCCACUCAGGAUUAGCCUGGUGUAUGCCUCCAGGUUUGAUGUAUGCCACCACCCAGCCAGUGUUGUGGCAUUACUUGUUAAACAUUUCUAUUUGCAGUCCUGCAAAGUAAUAGAAGGGGCUGGUGAGCCUGGUGCUGGCACCACACGCAUGCAGUGGCAGUGGUCUGUCCUGCAUGGAGCUGUGAUUCCUUCUGUGCAUGUGGUUGCAGAAAAACAUCUUGAUGGCUGCAGGGAUGCAGUGGGACCUUUGGGGCAUUUCUUCAGGCUCUCUCAGAGCUGCUGUGAUGUACUCUGGGCACUGGCUGUGCUGCUGGGGAAAGUCAUGGAGAUGCCAUAGAACACGUCUCCUCUCUGCACCACAACACAGUGCACUGCCAAGGAGCUAAGCCAUGCUUGGAUCCACAAUUGGUUCUAGAUAAUGGUGCCCUGAGAGUAUUGGGCUCUGGCAUGGCCCGAAGAAGCUCUGAGCAGUGCAUACUUGGUGCUUUCCCUCUGCCUGGCUUUGGGGACCAUGUAUGGGAGAUCUAUGAAAGAGAUGUGGGAUGCAGCCCUUUCUGCUUCAUCUUCUCCCUUCGCAUGCUCUUGCAAGCAUCUCUUCUCCAUUGGUUGGAUGCCUCUCAGUUUGCUGCUCCUUCUUUGAACCUUUUUUCUUUCACUAGACUGAUAUCUAUGCACUCCUUUUUGUGGAUGCUCAGAGAUCAGAAAGCCCUGGAGAAGCACUUCUUCAGGGGCUUCUCAUCUGGCUGCAGCUAUCAUCAGAGCCCUGCCUGCUAUCCCAGCACUGCCCAAACAGUCUCCUUCAAGCUCAGGCUAGAGAAAGUUGGGGACAGAUAGGAAUUUCUUUGAAGGGGAGAUUUUGGGUUUUGACUGCAGCUUUGAACCUUCCUCCCAGCUCCCAGGGAAGCUGACCCAAGUGAUCCCAUCAGUCAGCACCCACAGCUCUGGCUCUGAAGGUUACUACUCCAUCCUGCACCAUCCCAAGGAGAACGAUGAUGAAUGGGGUCUGUCAGCCUUGCAGGUAUUUUGGUUUCAGAAGCAGCCUGGGAAGCCAAGGCAUGCGCUGGGAUGCUGAGAGCUGGGGUUCCUACUGUGACAAGGAGGGCACUGUGUAAACACUGUGGGUGUACUAAGGUCCAAUGACAUGGACCCCUUUUACUUUGGAGCUGCCAGAGGCAGCUGUCCCCCCUCCAUGUGACAUCACAGAGGAUAGAGCAGGACUGGUCAGGAGCAGCACAGGUAGUUCAGAAGAGCUUCGUGGAGCCCAAGCUUGAAGCACAUGUUAGAGGCUGCUGUCUGUGUUCUCCCUCUCCAAAUUAUCUCUUUCUGUCUCAUUGCCUGUGUCUGUACACUUCUUUGUGUGUGAGCUCUGCAGUACCAAGGAAUUCUGCUCGAAGGGUUGACAGACUCAGCCUUCCCCAAAUGCUGCAGCUCAGGAGCAGACCUCAGUGCAGUGCAGAGAUGCUGUCCACAGCCUGGGCUGGAUGCAGGUGGCUGUGGAGCCGCUGGCAGCCAUGGGUCACCACUGUCAGCAGUGCCAACACCAGCCAUGCUCCCACAUCUGCUGUCCACAGCUGUGCCAUGCUUGAGGUGCUGCACCUACCCCACCAACCUGGAGCUGCUCAUCAUACUCCAGCAGAAGACCCAAACAGCAAUGCAAGCUGAGCAGCUGUAUAAAUGUUUCCUGACAUUUUGGAGAUGAAAUAGA